AUGUAUUUUGCAUCACUUGGUGAUGCAAAUAUACACCACCAACCGCGCGGUGAUGUAAAAUGGCCACCCACUGCGCGAACUGCCUUUGGACCCUCACCCCCCAACGCCGCCUGCCCACCGUACCCCGCCGCCGGCAGAUCCGGCCUUCCCACCACCGCCGCCGCCGGAUCCGUAGCUUUCCCGCCGCCGCACGUCUCGAAAUCGCCAUAUUUGAAGCCACCGCCACCCGAUUCAGAACUUCUCCGAUGCCGUCGUUGCCCCGCCGCCACCCGAUUUGCAGCUUCUCCGCCCUGCCACCGCCGAUUCGAAGCUUCUCCGCCCCGUCGCCUCCCGAUUCGAAGCUUCUCCGCCCCGCCGCUACCGAUUCAAAUCCGCACCCGCGCCGCCGCCAUGCCGCCGAAGAGGGUCUCGAAGAGCAGGACCGGCUACUUCGGGGUGCGGGAGAAGCCGUCUGGGAACUUCGGUGCCGAGUUCCUGCGUGACGGCUAUCGCUACUGGCUCGACACCUUCAAGUACCUAGAGGUGGCUGCACGUGCGUACGACGUCGCCGCUUGGUGUUUCGGCCGGUCAAGGCACGAGAUGAACUUCCCGGAUAUCGAAACCUGGGAGGAUGUGGAGUUCAUCGGAUCGAAGAAUCUUAAGAUACGACAGACGGACGGGGAGGAGGAGGAGGAGGAGGAGUAG
rnacentral:rRNA from 1 species